AACGAACGCUGGCGGCAGGCCUAACACAUGCAAGUCGAACGAGGUACUUCUUUCGGGGAGUGCCUAGUGGCGGACGGGUGCGUAACACGUGGGAAUCUACCUUAUAGUGGGGGAUAACUUCUGGAAACGGGAGCUAAUACCCCAUACGCCCUUCGGGGGAAAGAUUUAUCGCUAUAAGAUGAGCCCGCGGUGGAUUAGGUAGUUGGUGAGGUAAAGGCUCACCAAGCCGAUGAUCCAUAGCUGGUUUGAGAGAAUGACCAGCCACACUGGGACUGAGACACGGCCCAG
rnacentral:rRNA from 1 species